AAACUUUCAACAACGGAUCUCUUGGUUCUGGCAUCGAUGAAGAACGCAGCGAAAUGCGAUACGUAAUGUGAAUUGCAGAAUUCAGUGAAUCAUCGAAUCUUUGAACGCACAUUGCGCCCGCUGGUAUUCCAGCGGGCAUGCCUGUUCGAGCGUCGUUU
rnacentral:rRNA from 1 species